GCUAAGUUGAAAUCUGGAAGAGCGUGUUCACUGAGUCCUGUACAGGAAUGAUGAACCGCACUGGGAUUUUCUGCAUUUUCUUGGCUUUUUCAGUGCAGCUUAAAGCGACUUUACAGGGGCACAUCUGUGUGACAGAUUACUGCCAUACCAUCAGCUGCUCUUUAAAACUACCAGUCACAUCCACUAGAAACAUAUCAUACCGCCUGGAAGCUUUUACCGACAAUGACCAGAAAUAUGGCUGCCAACUGCAGAGAGUACAUGAAGAUCACAUCUGCAAUUUAACAGUAUCAGGC